rnacentral:rRNA from 1 species
UACGGAGGAUCCAAGCGUUAUCCGGAUUCAUUGGGUUUAAAGGGUGCGUAGGCGGAAUGAUAAGUCAGUGGUGAAAUCUCUUCGCUUAACGAAGAAACUGCCAUUGAUACUGUCAAUCUUGAGUACAUUUGAUGUGGGCGGAAUGUGUCAUGUAGCGGUGAAAUGCUUAGAUAUGACACAGAACACCGAUUGCGAAAGGCAGCUCACAAAACUGUAACUGACGCUGAGGCAACGAAAGCGUGGGGUAUCAAACAGG